rnacentral:rRNA from 1 species
CAGCCGCCGCGGUAAUACGAAGGGGGCUAGCGUUGCUCGGAAUGACUGGGCGUAAAGGGCGUGUAGGCGGCCUGGGGCGUCCCAUGUGAAAGGCCACGGCUCAACCGUGGAGGAGCGUGGGAUACGCUCAGGCUAGAGGGUGGGAGAGGGUGGUGGAAUUCCCGGAGUAGCGGUGAAAUGCGCAGAUACCGGGAGGAACGCCGAUGGCGAAGGCAGCCACCUGGUCCACUUCUGACGCUGAGGCGCGAAAGCGUGGGGAGCAAACCGGAUUAGAUACCCCGGUAGUCCCUGUCUCUUAUAA